rnacentral:rRNA from 1 species
UUGGAGGGCAAGUCUGGUGCCAGCAGCCGCGGUAAUUCCAGCUCCAAUAGCGUAUAUUAAAGUUGCUGCAGUUAAAAAGCUCGUAGUUGCAUUUCGGGACCGAUAUAUCGGUCGUGCCUCGGUACGUACUGGUAUUUUCGGUUUCUCCCUUCUGACGAACCUUGAUGUCAUUAAUUUGGUGUCUUGGGAAAUCAGGACUGUUACUUUGAAAAAAUUAGAGUGUUUAAAGCAGGCUCACGCUUGAAUACGUUAGCAUGGAAUAAUGAAAUAGGACGUUUGAUUCUAUUUUGUUGGUUUCUAGGAUCGACGUAAUGAUUAAUAGGGAUAGUUGGGAGCAUUAGUAUUCAAUUGUCAGAGGUGAAAUUCUUGGAUUUAUUGAAGACUAACUACUGCGAAAGCAUUUGCCAAGGAUGUUUUCAUUAAUCAAGAACGAAAGUUAGGGGAUCGAAGACGAUCAGAUACCGUCGUAGUCUUAACCAUAAACUGUGCCGACUAGGGAUCGGAUGAUGUUAAUUUUUUAAUGACUUAUUCGGCGCCUUACGGGAAAC